AUUUAGGUAGCGCCUCGUGAACUCAUCUCCGGGGGUAGAGCACUGUUUCGGCAAGGGGGUCAUCCCGACUUACCAACCCGAUGCAAACUGCGAAUACCGGAGAAUGUUAUCACGGGAGACACACGGCGGGUGCUAACGUCCGUCGUGAAGAGGGAAACAACCCAGACCGCCAGCUAAGGUCCCAAAGUCAUGGUUAAGUGGGAAACGAUGUGGGAAGGCCCAGACAGCCAGGAUGUUGGCUUAGAAGCAGCCAUCAUUUAAAGAAAGCGUAAUAGCUCACUGGUCGAGUCGGCCUGCGCGGAAGAUGUAACGGGGCUAAACCAUGCACCGAAGCUGCGGCAGCGACGCUUAUGCGUUGUUGGGUAGGGGAGCGUUCUGUAAGCCUGCGAAGGUGUACUGUGAGGUAUGCUGGAGGUAUCAGAAGUGCGAAUGCUGACAUAAGUAACGAUAAAGCGGGUGAAAAGCCCGCUCGCCGGAAGACCAAGGGUUCCUGUCCAACGUUAAUCGGGGCAGGGUGAGUCGACCCCUAAGGCGAGGCCGAAAGGCGUAGUCGAUGGGAAACAGGUUAAUAUUCCUGUACUUGGUGUUACUGCGAAGGGGGGACGGAGAAGGCUAUGUUGGCCGGGCGACGGUUGUCCCGGUUUAAGCGUGUAGGCUGGUUUUCCAGGCAAAUCCGGAAAAUCAAGGCUGAGGCGUGAUGA
rnacentral:rRNA from 1 species